rnacentral:rRNA from 1 species
GACGAACGCUGGCGGCGUGCUUAACACAUGCAAGUCGGACGAGUGGCGAACGGGUGAGUAAUAUAUUGGAACGUACCUGGUAGUGGGGGAUAACCACUCGAAAGGUUGGCUAAUACCGCAUAUUAUUAGAUGUGCCCAUAUCGGAUGAGCUAGUUGGUGGGGUAAAGGCCUACCAAGGCGACGAUCACUAGCUGGUCUGAGAGGAUGAUCAGCCACACUGGGACUGAGACACGGCCCAUACUCCUACGGGAGGCAGCAUGGGGGAAUUUUGGACAAUGGGCGCAAGCCUGAUCCAGCCAUGCCGCGUGUAUGAAGAAGGCCUUCGGGUUGUAAAGGACUUUUGUUAGGGAAGCGGUACCUAAAGAAUAAGCACCGGCUAACUACGUGCCAGCAGCCGCGGUAAUAC